AAGCGAAUUGUGUUGCCUCAGGUCAUCGUGACCUUAAGCUCACAAUAAUUGAGAACACAGAGCAAGCAGUCUGGGAGCCACGUACACAUUUUGGCAAUAACAAUGGCAGGAACAAUGUGUUCACAAAGGCCCACUCGCACGCAAUCCGGUCACAAGCCAAGAACUUCCAGGAAAUCUAAUCAGAGCGUCCAGUCGUGCACAUACAUCCACACAGUGCAAUGUUGAAACUAUAUAAACGCCCAGAUUUGAAAUGGGAGUUGAGAAAAAGCUAGAUGUGUUCUGUUGAAAUGUUCAGCGCUGUGUUACGUGUACUGAGGACAGCAUGUGAAUUUGAUCUAUGAAAUAAACGCUUCUUCUCCCGUCCUGGGGCAAUCAGAUGAUCGACUGAAGGUGUCCUGAUUUGUUGACCAUUGAAAACCACCACAUUUUGAUGCAUUGGCCGGGCUGAGAAAAGAACCCGGGAACAACUUUAGAAUCACUGAAGAAAAACUUUAUCAGGAGAACGGGCAAAGAUCACCAAAUUGCCCCCAGAUGAUGCCUCCACCCCUUGACAAAAUGGCUGAGCCUCGGUACGCUAUGGAGCCUGAGAAGAACACCUGAGAGCUGAGAGCGGUUUGACUAUAUUAUUUCUUGUAUUUUCUUCUACAAUCUAAUUCCCAUGAAAGAGGAACCUGUUUAAGGGUCGCAUUGUAAAUUGAAAUUAUUAUUUUACUCAUGUUUUUUUUCUUUCCUUGUGUCAUUAACAUAUAAUUGGGGAUUGAUGCAUUACGAGGAAAAGGACCCAGGAACUCUGUGAUGAGAAGGACCUUACAGAGGAAUAGAAAAGGUGAUGAAGUUCCAUUGUAUUUAUCUCACACUUAGCUGUGUUAACAAGUAUUUAAAUUACAAGAUUCCUGAAAUAAUUGUGGAGCGAUUUGAAGAUGUAACACCGAUUGCACAGUAGGAUUGGACUGCCAUUUUCUUUGAGUAAAAUUUUCUCCUGUUUUUGUUAUCUUAGGAAGGUAAGAUGAUUGUAAUUUAUUUCAUGUUUCUUUAAACAGGUAAGAUGAUUCAACAAAAGAUAGACUUUUUAUUUGUUGUUUUGGCCUGAGGUCCAAUCUGAAGUCCUACAAUCGUGUUACAUGAUUUAUUUCAUUAUUAUCAGAAAGGUUAAUUCUCUGAGAUUUAAAUUUUACAGUUUAUUGGAGGAUAUUUGGAAAUAUUAAUAAUUGCAGAUAAGAGAGAAGAUACACCAAGAGACAAUGGGACUUUACUGCAACAAUCAAAAGUUCUCUUAAUUUAAUUUGAACAUUAAUUACAGAAACUGGACUCAUGAAAAACGGGAUGUGUUACAUCUCUAGAUUUAGUUUCAAGAUACUGGUCAGUUUUUUUCUUUCCUCUCAGGGUCACAUCUGACAGUGAGAUUUAAGGACUCUGGAUCAGCAUAAGCCAUGGACACAUGAACGAUAUGCGAGGCCCAGGGGACCACGACAACCAAGGAGCAGACUGACUGAACUCGAAUAUUAAGGGAGGUACAUCAAAGAGUAAUGAAAGGACAAGAGGACCAGCGAACUCUAGCUACACGUCAGAAAAUGCAACACCAAGGAGCGACCAGGAGAUGGACGACCGACAGGAUCAGAUGUGAUGAAAGCAUCACAGGAGGGAAUGGGAUCCUUCUCCAAUUGAAUUAGAUAAGUCAAACACUACGUACAACAAUAGGAUUGGAAUAAUAUGAAUAUUAUUGUCUAUGAUUAGUUGAUAUUUGCUGAUAAGAACACUAAUUGUGGUUUUUCUGUCUUACUCAUUUUGAGGGGAUGGAUUGUAAAGACCGGUGACCCCAGGCAUAAGACUGCAAACCUUCAACUUCCGCCUGCAAAAUACUAAAGGCGGGAACCUGUGAUCCUGUGUUUAUGCCUUUAAAAGCCAAGGACAGAGCCCUGAAGUGAAAGAACUAUAUUUUUGAUUUUUUCAACAGAAAAGAAGACAACACAAUUAUUGAUUAUUCUUGCAUUCUGUAAAUAUAAACCUGAUGAUUGUAACAUGCCAUUGCUUUGCAUUAUAAUCUGUAUUACUGUCUUAUUAUUUUACAUGGUAAGCUAUACAUGGGCGGCUGUUUAGAGGACUGGGGACUCAGACUACUGACUGACUGACCUACUUAAUUUUCUUUUUCUUUCAUUUACCUAGCCUUAUAUACUACAAUACACUAUAACUAAGUUCGAGUUAUUUGAAAUGUUUUGAAUAGUUAUCCUUCACAUAUUAAGUAAUAUCAAGAUUGGGUUGAAUGGUUCAAACAGUGUUGGUUUCACAGAUCAUCAUGAGUAGCAUGGUCAAGAUGCGAUUUGUGCUACGGCCGACGCCGGAGGAAGGAUGGAUGUUUGGGGGAAGCAUGGGUCGAUGGGAUAGUUUCCUCUUACAUGAGUUUGAAAUGAAAGAGUAAGAUGCCCACAGGACGAAAAAGGGGUUUUCGAUCCCAUACUAAUCGAAUCAUGGCCAUGUGGAAAAUGAUGAUCUUUCUUUGAAGGUUCAGUAAUAUUCACUUUGUUUUGUUAUUCACUUUAGUUUUGUUAUUAAUCAUGACACUUUAAUUUUCAUUUAAUUUGUUUUUCUCAACUUGCAUCCAUACUGGGCUGCGUCGGUAACACUUAGAUACCGUUUCAUUUAAACUUCACAUACACGUAAGUGCACUUAGUUGCGUAAUAUUACCAUCACUAUGCAAAUUCUCAUUAGUACUUCAUUUUCAAUGAACUACAGGAGGGAAUGUAGAAGCGAAUUGUGUUGCCUCAGGUCAUCGUGACCUUAAGCUCACAA